UACGUAGGGUGCGAGCGUUUGUCCGGAAUUAUUGGGCGUAAAGAGCUUGUAGGCGGUUUGUCGCGUCUGCUGUGAAAAUCCGGGGCUCAACCCCGGACUUGCAGUGGGUACGGGCAGACUAGAGUGUGGUAGGGGAGACUGGAAUUCCUGGUGUAGCGGUGAAAUGCGCAGAUAUCAGGAGGAACACCGAUGGCGAAGGCAGGUCUCUGGGCCACUACUGACGCUGAGAAGCGAAAGCGUGGGGAGCGAACAGG
rnacentral:rRNA from 1 species